rnacentral:sRNA from 1 species
GUUUUGGAGAAGGUACCAUGAGGUGCUGAAAAGAAGACGCAGAGGAAUGCUUCAGUCUCCAGAAAGGGACAGAUUAAACCUCAAGAUUAAAACGAGUUUCCUCAGCAGCAACAGGAAAGAAGCAAGCCCUGUCCCCUUAAAGGAAAGUUUAUGCUUUCAAUCUUGUGUUUCAAGUCAUUGGCCAUUAUUUGGCUAUAGAUGAUACUAUGUCUAAAUAUGACCAUAAUAUAGUUUGAAGAAAACAAAGCAAGGGACACGACUCUGGGUUUUUAGACCUUCUGACAUGCAGGACUCUUGCUCUAAAAUAUGUUUGGUGUUUAAAUUUCCUACACAUUUCCCUGGAACCUAUGAUACCAGGAAAAACGGAUCUCUGUGAAAUUCCGUUUUAGUGGCUUGCUAGAGACAAUCAUUUGCAAAUACUUGUACCCAGGAGCUUAUGCCAUGAUUAUGCCAUGCAGAGGAGUGCCAUGCUAUAGUCUUUUCUCAUGAUUACUCAAUAUGCUUUUAAAGAUACUAGAAUCAAAACACUAUCCAAAGGGAUACAGUUGAUCCUAAUCUUGAUUGUACCAGCUAAACAUUUGGAGAGGAUACAAUAUGGAUUCCCCUCCCAUACUGGCUAAUUCCCUUCUUACACGGGUCUUAUAUAUUAUGCUUAAGUGGUGACUUUGCUAUGAGAGGAGAACUAUUAUUCACCUUUCUUGUAACAGAUUACCUGACAAGAAGCAAUUUAAGGAUUUGAGAGAUUACCAUCUAUCCCGCAGAAAUGCAUGGCAGCAUGAAUGAGAAGCAGCUGGUUACUGUCCUUUGUCAUCCAGCACAGAGAGAUGGAGGGUGGUUCUCUGAUCAUUCAGUUUGGUUUCACUCUCAUAGCCACUCACUGACAUCUUGAAGCUUACGCGACAACAUCUUACUCAUUAAUGAUUUUUGUAGGUAGAGUGUAUACCAUGAAUUCAUGAGGAUCAGAGUCACAAGAAUCCACAUAAAACUUGAUAUGGUGAUACAUGUGUAUAAUCUCAGCACUUCUAUAGCAAGAUAGAAGAUAAAGGCAGAGUCCCUGGAAGCCCAUUGGCCAAUUAUCCUGGCAUCUGAAGUAUCAAAAAAAGAGAUUCUGUCUCAGAUAAGAAUGAAGAUCUGUGAGACAACAUGGCUGAAAAUGUUUAUGGUUCAAAAGUUCCCAAAUUUUCUUGAUGGUCAGUGUUUUUUAUCUCAAAGUAAUUUACUAAUAGUGUGUGUCAUUUGUAGAGAGCUUCACAACAGUUGUGAGGAUGUCUUAGAAGCAUAUUAAAGUAGGGUGAUUAUGUACAUAUGUAUGAAUAUGUCAUAAUGAAACCCAUUAGUUUGUACAAUUGCUAUAUGCUUAUUCCACACAUUAUUCUAGAGUACUUGCACUCAACCGUCACAAUUCGAGAUGUAAAAACCUAUCGAAACUUUCAAGAAUAAAAAUCACACACACAAAAGAGCAAAUUACUGAUGUUCUGAACCACUUCAAGUAAGUAGUUCUCACAGUGUCCAAAAAUUUCUAAAAUCACUGUGUCACCUCAAGACCAAAUUUUAAAAAUGUUCUUCCAUUGUCUUAUACAUCAAAGUUUCUCACAAGAUUUAAUUAAUGAGGCUUACCUUAGGACAAAGAAGAAGCUAUCCUCAAGGAAAAUGUCAAUAAAUUUUAUAGUCUGUCCAUGAUUCCCUCAAAGUAACUUACUUAGAUGUCCUGAUGUGGCUAGAGUACUUAUUACGGUUCAGAGACUUCCCCAAGUAUGUUACAAAUGUUAACUGGUUCAGUUUUCAUUACCCAAGAGGACAAGUACUGUUAUCAUUCUUAAUUCAUAGAGGAAGACACCAAGGCACACUUCAGGAUUUGUUUCUGAUCCAUGAUCCAAACAAUUCUCAAACAGGGAAGCUGAGAUUUUUGACUCUAAAACUCAGAAAUAUCAAUUGCAUCAUCGCAGGGCUUCUUUAUUAAGAAGGUAUGUCUCUCCAGGUCAGCAACACUGGUGCCUUAAAACCCUUCUUCUCUCUACCCCCAAAAUGUAGAGGCCACAGUAUCUACCAGCAGGCAAACCAGAAUGGAUUUUGUGUAACACUUCCUUCAAGCAUACAAUAAGCAGAACUUAAGCCAAAUUCCCAAGCUGUUAUGAAAUAGGAGAUGGAGAAGAUUCAUGUAUCUAUAAGGGAAGUACCCAAGAGGAAACACCAAAUCUAAGAGGCAAAAGGCCAUUCUUCCUAGUCUCAAGCAAUUCACUUGCACUUGCAGUAGAGUCGUAUUUAAGAACUGGACUGUUUAAACAACACCUGAUAUAGGAAAUGAAGGUUGCCACAUUUUCAUCCAUCUACAUGCCUUCAUCAUUUGUAUGGAUGAGCUGUCAUUCAAGGGAGGGAAAAUGCAUCUGAAGUAAUACUCUCAGCUGAUUACUGACUGAUUAAAGUGAAAGGAGACUCAGCUUUGGCCACUACACAGACCAGAUACGGCUGGCUUGCUGCCUCCCUGAACGACACACCUCACACAGCUGAGAAAGCCAAAGGGCAGAAACCAAAGAAGAUUAAAAUAAUGCAGAUUAACAACAUGCUGACUGCAGAAGACAUGAUGGAACUGGAGAAUCCAACAGAAAACAACAAUAUUGACUAACUGAACACCUCAGAGCUCGCAAGGACUACGACCAACCAAAGAAUACACAUGGAGGGACCCAUGACUCCAGCUGCAUAUGUACCAGAGGAUGGCAUUAUCUCGCAUCA